UACGGAGGGUGCGAGCGUUGUCCGGAAUCACUGGGCGUAAAGGGCGCGUAGGUGGCCGAGCAAGGUCGCGGUGAAAGCCCGGGGCUCAACCCCGGGUCGGCCGUGGCAACUACUCGGCUGGAGCACUGUAGGGGCGGGUGGAAUUCCGGGUGUAGCGGUGGAAUGCGUAGAGAUCCGGAAGAACACCGGUGGCGAAGGCGGCCCGCUGGGCAGUUGCUGACACUGAGGCGCGACAGCGUGGGGAGCAAACAGG
rnacentral:rRNA from 1 species